GCCUGGGUGGUUCCAUCGGUUGAGCAUCUGACUUCAACUCAGAUCAUGAUCUCACAGCUUGUGAGUUCAAGCCCCACAUCAGGCU
rnacentral:tRNA from 1 species